UGGUGUACCAGUUGUUCCGCCAGGAGCAUCGCUGGGUAGCUAUGUGCGGAAGGGAUAAGCGCUGAAAGCAUCUAAGUGCGAAGCCCCCCUCAAGAUGAGAUUUCCUUUGCGCAAGCAGUAAGACACCUCAAAGACGAUGAGGUAGAUAGGCUGGGAGUGGAAGUUCUGUGAAGAAUGGAGCGGACCAGUACUAAUCAGUCGAGGACUUGACCAAA
rnacentral:rRNA from 1 species